rnacentral:rRNA from 1 species
CCUACGGGUGGCUGCAGUGGGGAAUAUUGGGCAAUGGGCGCAAGCCUGACCCAGCAACGCCGCGUGAAGGAAGAAGGCUUUCGGGUUGUAAACUUUCUCUAAGAGGGAAGAGCAGAAGAUGGUACAUCUUGAAUAAGCGACGGCUAACUACGUGCCAGCAGCCGCGGUAAUACGUAGGUGGCAAGCGUCGUCCGGAUUUACUGGGUGUAAAGGGCGUGGAGCCGGGCUGACAAGUCAGAUGUGAAAUUCCGGGGCUCAACCCCGGACCUGCAUUGGAAACUGUUGGUCUUGAGUAUCGGAGAGGCAGGCGGAAUUCCUAGUGUAGCGGUGAAAUGCGUAGAUAUUAGGAGGAACACCAGUGGCGAAGGCGGCCUGCUGGACUGUAACUGACGUUGAGGCUCGAAAGCGUGGGGAGCAAACAGGAUUAGAUACCCCUGUAGUC